rnacentral:rRNA from 1 species
UUGACGCUGAGGUUGGUACUUGUACCGACUGGAUGAGCAGCGAACGGGUGAGUAACGCGUGGGGAAUCUGCCUUUGAGCGGGGGACAACAUUUGGAAACGAAUGCUAAUACCGCAUAAAAACUUUAAACACAAGUUUUAAGUUUGAAAGAUGCAAUUGCAUCACUCAAAGAUGAUCCCGCGUUGUAUUAGCUAGUUGGUGAGGUAAAGGCUCACCAAGGCGAUGAUACAUAGCCGACCUGAGAGGGUGAUCGGCCACAUUGGGACUGAGACACGGCCCAAACUCCUACGGGAGGCAGCAGUAGGGAAUCUUCGGCAAUGGACGAAAGUCUGACCGAGCAACGCCGCGUGAGUGAAGAAGGUUUUCGGAUCGUAAAACUCUGUUGGUAGAGAANANCGUUGGUGAGAGUGGAAAGCUCAUCAAGUGACGGUAACUACCCAGAAAGGGACGGCUAACUNCGUGCCAGCAGCCGCGGUAAUACGUAGGUCCCGAGCGUUGUCCGGAUUAAUUGGGCGUAAAGCGAGCCCAGGUGGUUNAUNAAGUCUGGUGUAAAGGCAGUGGCUCACC